AAUGAAAAAAAGCAAACCCUCUGGCCUCCGCGGCUCAUUUUCUGCAAAAAAGAGGGAAGAAAGGUGCGAGAUCAGUCAGGGAGUGGGAAAUCAGCGGUUCUCGAACUGAAAGUGAGGGGCGUGGCUGUGGAUCUGCUUCAAAGCCGUUUCCCCUUUUUACCUCACUCGUCGCCGUCCGAUAGCAUUUCCCCUUCAAAACCAGAGUUUUUCAUAGUCAGGUCCCUGGUUGAACCAUCAUGGCUUCCAAGCGUAUUUUGAAGGAACUUAAGGAUUUGCAGAAAGAUCCACCUACUUCUUGCAGUGCAGGUCCUGUAGCUGAAGACAUGUUCCACUGGCAGGCAACAAUUAUGGGACCAUCUGAUAGCCCAUAUGCUGGAGGUGUAUUUCUAGUUACUAUCCAUUUUCCACCUGAUUAUCCAUUCAAGCCUCCAAAGGUUGCGUUCAGGACAAAGGUCUUUCACCCAAACAUAAACAGUAAUGGAAGCAUUUGUCUUGAUAUCCUCAAAGAACAGUGGAGCCCUGCUCUUACCAUUUCUAAGGUUUGAUUUAGAUCCAUGACUUUAGGCUGGUAAUUGUACAGCUUUGUAAGCGAGUAUCAAUGGUAAAUCAACAAUGGAAAAGGAAAAGGAGAACUGUCAUCAUAUAAAUUUCAAGCUAAUAUCAUGGCAAUAGUUUAAUAAUAUGAUGAAACUUAUAUGCCAAAUUUAGUGUGAUUGGUUUUGGGUAUUAGCCUGCAAAGCAUUAGUGUUACCUUAAAGUUUUUUUGUGAAUUAUUUUGCCUUGGAGUUGGUUUUUUUCCCUCCCUGCAAUUAUGAUAUGGUUAAGAGCUCAGACCUCAGGAUAUGAAAAUAUGAUUGCACGAGUUAUAAUCUUUCUCUUCUCUUCUUGAUAUGUGUCAAUUUCUCAAAAAAUUUGAAUGCCAUUGUGCUGAUACUGAAAUGGGAUUCUAGCUUUGAACUUCUGAAAUUUUCUUCUUGAUAAUUUUCACUUCCAUGCAGCUGAGGAAAUUAGGAAUUAUUACUACCAAUGUAACCAUACAUGCCUUGUCAGGUACUGCUCUCCAUUUGCUCAUUGCUGACUGAUCCAAAUCCUGAUGACCCGCUUGUACCGGAGAUUGCCCAUAUG